CCUGACUCUCUAACUGCCUUCUCACGUCAGCCUCUCCUCUGACUCUCCAACUGCUCCAAAGUCCAAAGAAUUGAAUCGCUGUCGGUGGUGCAUACAGCACAUGUUCUUUGGAAAAUAAAUUCUAAAACACUUCAGCAUGAUGGAAAGAGAGAAUCAGGAUGUGGCCCCCAAUGUUGUUUGAUUGCAACUUUCAUCAGCCCUGGCUAGUAUAACCAUGGAAAGAGUUUGUGGCUAUUGCAUCUGACCAUACAUAAAUAUUUCAAGGGAUACCUGGUUCCCAUCUUUGCUUUAGAAGACCAUCACCAUAAGCUGACUGCCAAGACAAGUUUGGUUGGUGAUUCCAAAGGAAAAAGCCUUUUCCAUAAUGGAUCCACACUUCAGGAAAUUAGGUUGAUAGUUCAGGAGCAUCUUCUUCUCUAAGAUAUCAGGACCAUCAUCUGAGAGCAGGGUGGGGGCGCAUGCCUCAUCAUGA